GGGCAACAAGAGCAAAACUCCGUUUCAAAAAAUAUAUAUAUUAUUUACUCUUUUUAAAUAAAAUUUUAAUAAAUUCCUUACUAGCUUUUCCCCAGAGGUAGCAUAAUAAGCACUGUAAAUGGGGCCCCUAACUGCAAAAGAGAGAAGAUAGACUUCAGUGGAAUACCUAAAUGCAAACUCAAGAAGCUUGCAGAGCUGGUACUGAGACUGGAAGGCAGAGCAGUGGCCGUGUGUUGAGAGGUGGGAGCAGGUGGAACUCAGAGCUCAGAUUCCCAGAGUGGACGCUGAGGUCCCCAUUUACGGGUGGAAGGCUUGGACCCACCUUGGAUGGAGCCUUAGCACGGAUGAGGACCGCAGCCAUUGAAAGCAUCAACUUGUUUGACUGUGUAUCAAGACUAUUCUUAUGCUGUACUUGUUUCUCUUGGGCAUGCCAUUAGUGUGGUAUUCAUAAGCAGAAAUGUAAAAAAGAAAUGACAAGAAGUAUGUAUAGUAAAUCCACCUACUUUCAGAUUUAGUUCAAAGAUUAUGACCUAAGCAGAGGUCUGGUUCGUUUAGGCUUUGUGAACAUUUGUCCAAAUUAUAGUAGGUUUACUAGCUAAAAUCCCUGGGUGAGUCUGAUGAAAAGUAUUUCUUUUUUUCCAUUGCUGUUUUUGUAACAUCCACAUCAAUCUAAAUUGCUGUUUAGAUAAGGUAACUCUACUUUACUGGCCAAGAGUGAGGAAUAAAAUCUGUUAAGUGGAUGCAACACAUUUCCUUUCUGCCUGUUCAUUCAACAGGCCCUAUAGUGAAAUGGCAAAGAGCCUUUAUUCAAAUGGUGGGUGCCAUGCUGUGGUAAUACAGAUGGAUUUUUCACAACAUGCAGAAGUGCUUAUAAAUAGAUACGUUUCAAUCAACAAGUAGCUUAUUCAGGCAUGUGCUCAAAUAUAGUAGCUGCAUUCAUUAGACAGACAUUUCCACUAAUCCCAAGACUAUACUAAUAAAAGAGUAAUCCCUUAUGGGCUAAAGGUGGUGCUGGUUUGCUUUUAACUCUUAGAGUCCUUCACACACCAAGGCCUAAUAAUAAUUGUAGCUGUAUUUGGUUUUCACCAAGUGAACUUAACCCAUUUAUGCCGGAGGUUGCAAUUUUUAAAAUGUUUGUAAUCAGAGCUUGGUGAUGAUCUUGAGCAGUAGAAUAUAAAUAACUCUCACACGCUUAGCGUUCCGAUAAUGGAACACUAAGCAUGAAUGGGUUAAAAGCUGAGCUUAUCUUGGAAUUUUUCUAUUCUUAUUUUUUAAAUUGCAGGAGCUUAGUGAAGAAAGAGGUGCUUUUUACUCUAGAUAUGUAGCUUGCAGCAAAGCCAAUUCAAAAAUCAAUUUGUGUGUGUGUGUGUGUCUGUGUAUGUUUUCUCAAUACUUUAUCAUAAAGCAUUUCUCUCUUUCACCUUGGUUAACAGAAGUGUUCGCUUGAGCACAUUGUUUUGUUCUUUGAUGUUAGGAUAAAUAACAAGUUAAUGAUCAAUUUUGAGAGCAUUUGCAAGCUCUCACUAUAGUGGUUUGCCUUUUUACAUGGACUUUUUCCCCUUCAAUAGCUCUUUACUUCUCCUGUGUUACUCAGAGCUAGCUGUAAUCCGUUUGCUUAGCACAAUACCAAAAUUUUUCCCUUGCCAGUGAUGUCAAAUCUGCCUUCCUUUUUAUUAUUCUGACUUAUAAACUGCAGUGACCUCUGAGUCAACUUCACCAUCUCCUGGCCCUGUGCCAACAUUGUGAUCUGUGAAAAGAGAGUCCUGCCAAGGGCUACGAGGCAGAAAACUGAUAUUAUUAAAGUGGUCUUCUGAACGGUAAGUAUCAGCCAUUUUCUAAUCUUUUGUGAUGUUAUUGCCAGCAAGGGAGAGGGGGAGGUAAAUCAUGUUAACAUGUUAAGGAUCUAACCCAUGCAUUGCUAACCUUUUCCAGAUUGGGGGCUCAGAUGCACAUCAGUGUCUAUAGGCACACAGAAAUUAUUGCACAGCGCUAUUCACAGACAGACGUGCUUCUUGAAGACUCUAUUACUGUGAGUCUCGAAGAAGUUUCUUAAUUUCUGAGCCUCAGUUCCCUUUUCUGUAGCCUGUUAGUGAUACAUAUUGUACAGGGGUGCUAUAUACAAGACAAAUUGAGAAGAUGCAUAUAAAGUGUUUUAAAAAUAAAUGAUAUAGAAACAUGAUGCAAGCAAGAGUGUCUUAAAAACUGUUUGAUUAUUAACACUGACAACCUUUUCUGUGCCCCACUCAGGAGCCUGACGACAUUCAGUGCUGCUGGGCCGCAAUACCAAAAUGUUUAUUAGCAUUUUCAUUCUGUAGCAACCUUUUCCCCAUUUCUGGGCGGCAAGUGGUGAUAAGGGAAGGGAUAAAGAAGAGAACAUGAUGGAUUUUUAUGAAGUAAAUGAGAAAGAACCAAGUUCCCAUCAUUAGGAUUUCUCAGCAACUCUUUCUGCAAGGUCCUAAGGGUUCUAAGAUGAAUACGGCCCACUCCCUCCCUUCCAGGACUUUAGCUGAGGUUGGUUGGAGCUGAAGUCGGGCAAGACUCAUAGGAACGGAUUAAGGGAGAGAGAAUCCAGAGGCAACGUGAAUUCCAAGUAUAGAUCUGGACUCAGAAGAGAUUUAAGUUUCAAACCUGGCUUUAUCAGUUAGUGCUUGUGGGAUCUCAACCAAGUCACCGACUUCUCUGAACAUGCUUCCAUAUUUCUACAAAGGAAACAAUAAGUGACUCUGCUGAGUUGAGCACUUGCAAGUACCAAGCAGUGAGGACCUGAGGCAUGGAUGCUAAUCAGCUUGCUGGAGAUCACAGUCAUGAGUGGCAGAGUGGGUCUCGAAACCAGGCAGCCUGGCUCUGGAGCCCACACUCCAUCCACACACCAUGCUGGGACCCCGUGGAGUGACCAGCAGACUGGUUGUGUGGGUUAGGUGGAACGGUGCA